UACCUCCAAUGACAGGGCUGC
rnacentral:piRNA from 1 species